rnacentral:lncRNA from 1 species
CAGCAGCCUGCCUAUUGUGUCAUGAUAUGGAAACAUUUGUUUUUUUCUGCUUUUUUCUUCUCCCUCAGGUCCUAUAAAUUCAGAUCCUUCCUUUGCGGCUUCUAUUUCUUCCUGGUCACUCGCAUCUCGCUUGUUCCUCUGACCCACGCAGCCCUUGUAGCACCUGGAGGAGUGGUCAUCUGCUUUGCACACCAAAACCUUACACUGCAGAAUGAGCAAUGACCAGUAGAGGAGUCAUGCUAAAUCAUCAAUUGAGUGGUCUCAACAAAAGAACCCUUCAUCCUGAAAAUUCACACCACAUCUGAGCUGGUAAUCUGGUCUAACUCACUUACGAUACUCACAAGGAAGCUGAAUGCCAGAAAAAAUGAAAUGACUUAGCUAAGGUCAGACAGCUGUCGGUGGCAAAGUUGAUUGUAGAGCUCAAAUAUUUUGACACACAUUUUAGCUCUUUCUAUCAAAGUUUAUAAGACCAUGAAGAAUUACUAUCAUUCACCAAAUUCCAUAAUAUUAGCAUUAGAGUUUACCUGAUAUAACUCUAAAGAGGAAAGUUUUUGAGAGAUUGAAGAAUGGAAUAUGAUUAACUUGCCUUCAUAGACAUGCUUGUAUAUCUAUGAGAAUGGAGGAAUGAUUUGUCCAUUAGAGAGUGAGCCCCUCCAAGGCAGGGACUGUCAUCUGCCUUUCUUUGUAUUGACGGUGCUUGGCACAUAGCAAGCCCUUAAUAAAUGCUUAUUGAUUAACU